GUGUAGCUCAGUGGUUGAGUAGUCGCCUAGCAUGUGUGGAGCUCUGGGUUCAAUUCCCAGCAC
rnacentral:tRNA from 1 species